UUUUUUGUUUGCUUUGUCAUCUGACGUCUAAGACCAAGUUCGAUCCAUCUCGACUAAUCCACACUUCAAAAAAGUAAGCUUUUGUGCUUAGGGUAUUUUUUUUGAAAUGGUUCUAAAAGGCCUAUUUUACAAUAAGCAAUGAAAAAAAGAUGGAUGGGUAAUGUCCAGGGGUGCCAAGCUUCCAGAUUUAUCUGGAUUCAUCAAGAUUUUCAAGCCUCGUCCAGACAUAAAGAUUUAUGUUUGUCUGAUCCAGAUUUUAGGGAAUUUGUCCAGAUUUAUCCAGACAAUUUGAAAAAUAACAAAAGUUUCAUAAACCACUUUUUGAGAAAGCUGGAAACACAACAUACCACCGUUUUUUCGUGAAAGUCAACAAAUUUUUUGCCGAAUUAUAUCAUCUAGAAGUUCCAGCAGUCCAAUAUUCUGGAAACUCUGAGAUUCAAAUUUAAUCAAUGUGAUCUAUGCUGAAAAUCAAGCAUUGGACAUUUCCAGAUUAGCAGCGCAAUCACCAAAUUUUUAGUAAGCCGAUAUAUUUACUAAUAUACAAGCAUGUUUUAUUAGUAAAACGUAACAAAUUAGCCAUCGGUGAGGAAUGCACCUUUUCCUAAAGAAUUUGGGUCAUCCAGACAAUUCCAGACUUUUUAAAAAAAUAUUACAGAUUUUUUGGAAAAGCACUUGGCAUCCCUGGUAAUGUCUGCGACAUAACCGGAGAAAUGUACACGUAUGCGAAAAACUACCAAAAGUUGAGCUCUUUUGACUCAAUCUCGGGGUAUCGUGGGAUAAGGUAAAAUUAGGUAAACCGUGUUGAAGGUAGUUUAUCUUUAACAACGGCAAGAACCACAACUCAUUGACUGGUUUUUUAUAUUCAACCUUGAAUUAUAUAUGCCUAAAUUUAAGUUGAAUCUACCUAAUUUUGAGUAUACCUCAAACAACUCAAAAGUACCUUAUUCCAUGGAAGGCCUCGACUGAGUCGAAUCUCUCUUUGUUUUUGACAACACUAUAAUACCGAGAGGUUCACUGAGCCAAAUAAUCACAUAUAUUUCAUGUGAAAAAGCACGUAAAUAUUAAAAUCGGCCAAUCACAUUAGAUUCAUGUGCAGCAGAUAACAUUCAUACCUACAUUGAUGAAUUUCAAAUAAGAUGCCAUUAAUUUUCAAGUGUAUAAUGUAUAUAUUCUAUGUGAUUGUCACAUACUUCAAACGUAACUUGCAAAAAACAAUCAAAACAGUCGGAAAUUCUAGAACAGUCAAUAAAAUUAUUUGAACAAUACGGAGCUGCAAGCACUAUUGGAACGCAAAAAGCUGGGAAAAAGUUCGGUGAUGUUUUCAAUAUAAUUGAUUCAUGGCGGAAAUAAUAUGCAACGGUUCUAAUUCGUAAUUGUUA